rnacentral:rRNA from 1 species
AUUGAACGCUGGCGGCAGGCCUAACACAUGCAAGUCGAGCGAGCGGCGGACGGGUGAGUAAUGCCUGGGAAUUGCGCAGGCGAGGGGGAUAACAGUUGGACAGUACUUCUAAUCGCACAUACGCGUGGAUUGCCCAGGGGGGAUUAGCGAGUUGGUGGGGGAAAGGCUCACCAAGGCGACGAUCCCUCGCUGGUCUGAGAGGAUGAUCAGCCACACUGGAACUGAGACACGGGCCAGACUCCUACGGGAGGCAGCAGUGGGGAAUAUUGCACCAUGGGGGAAACCCUGAUACAGCCAUGCCGCGUGUGUGAAGAAGGCCCUUGGGUUGUAAAGCACUUUCAGCGAGGAGGCGUUACUCGCAGAAGAAGCACCGGCUAACCCCGUGCCAGCAGCCGCGGUAAUAC